rnacentral:rRNA from 1 species
GUCUAUGGCCAUGCUACCCUGAAUAAACCCAGUCCUGUCUGAUCUCAGAAGCUAAGCAAGGUUGAGCCUGGUUAGUACUUGGAUGGGCGACCACUUAGGAAGACCAGGUGCUGUAGGCA